UAGAAUCUGCAUUAUUAACGACUACAUAAUAACGACCAAGUGAAAUUUUUGUUGAUAUAUGUAUGCAUCAACUAGAACUUUUGGCGAUCGUUGUUGUUAUAAGGUCUAGUACAUAUUAUGAGUUGCUAAACUGUCGUUAAUACCUGACAAGAAAAAUAAAUUAUAUCAAGUUCAUCGUUAAUACCUGAUACUAACUUCAUUUUUUUUAGAAAAAAACCGUAAUUAAGCACUUAGAGCGCCAGAUCGAGGAGCAAAAUUUUUCUUUAAAAUUGAAAAUGAAACCUAUUCGCUCCAUUUCUCCUCUUUCAACAUACAUUGUUUAGAAAAAAAAAAUCGCUUUCAACAUGAAAUUAAGUUUUGAAACUGCUUCUCUGUCAACUUGCAAGCCGCUGCUUCAACGACUGAAUUCGAUCGACGACUGAAUUGAAUUCGCUGUGCCGACUGAAUUGAAUUCGCUGUGCCGACUGAAUUUCGCUGCUUCGACCUAAUUUCAACCAAGUUGUGUGGCUUUCAUUUCCUUUGCUAGAGCACUUUGGGAACAAUGGAUUGUGCCAUCGAUUAGAGAAACCAUUUUGCAAGUAUAUGAAGAAGAAAACAACCAUGCACAUCAUCGACAACUUAGGGAUGAUUUAUGUAGUAUUAAAGCUUUAUAGGAUGAGAUGACUAUUUGAAAGAUCUUCAAACUCAUUUAUGUUUCUAGUGGCUUGUACUCAAAUCAAUUGAUAUUAUGUUAACGAUUUAUUUCUAUUUUUAUUUUUUAUUUUUUUAAUCUUAUAUACAUGUUCAUUGAACAAAUUAAAGUAA